UAGGGAAUCUUCCGCAAUGGGCGAAAGCCUGACGGAGCAACGCCGCGUGAGUGAUGAAGGUCUUCGGACCGUAAAACUCUGUUAUUAGGGAAGAACAAAUGUGUAAGUAACUAUGCACGUCUUGACGGUACCUAAUCAGAAAGCCACGGCUAACUACGUGCCAGCAGCCGCGGUAAUACGUAGGUGGCAAGCGUUAUCCGGAAUUAUUGGGCGUAAAGCGCGCGUAGGCGGUUUUUUAAGUCUGAUGUGAAAGCCAACGGCUCAACCGUGGAGGGUCAUUGGAAACUGGAAAACUUGAGUGCAGAAGAGGAAAGUGGAAUUCCAUGUGUAGCGGUAAAAUGCGCAGAGAUAUGGAGGAACACCAGUGGCGAAGGCGACUUUCUGGUCUGUAACUGACGCUGAUGUGCGAAAGCGUGGGGAUCAAACAGG
rnacentral:rRNA from 1 species